CAGAGCGUCCGUAAACUGAAUGAAUUUAGAAUAUCACCUGAAAAUCCAAUAACAUCAGCAAAUUUCCAUUUAAGUAGCUGAUUUCUGUAAAUGAAUGUACAUUUCAGCACAUGGUGAAGUCCGUAUAUACAUUAACGACGAUUUGAGACAAAUAAGUGUAAAUUUAAAACUAUGUAUAUGGCGCUAUACGCUGCAGACAGACGCGAAAUGGCACCGCCGGUACACACACAUACCCUGUGUCUCAAUUCGUUCCCUAGCUCCAAAGGUCGUGAAUCUGUAUAUAGUGUACACAAGUUCGGGCACUGGUAAGGACUUUAGCUCACUUGACAUUAAGACACUGUUCACUUUAUCCUGUGAUGUGGCUGCUUAAAGGCGUUGUGAUCACUCACAGCUGUUACGCAUCAAAAACCGGCAAAACCAACAGCUCUCUGACUUAAUUUUUAAACAAUACAUUGUAAAAAACGCUGUCAUUAACCUCUUAUAUAUCCGUGCAUAAAAUUGGAGGAAUAUAAUUACAUUUUAAAUACAUAUAUUUUUAACAAUUUUAAAUAAAUAUUAUUAUUUAUAUCAUCCAAUUUUGGUUGGAGAUAUUCGAAAAGGUCACGUGAUUUGUGGUAAUGGAACAUGGGGACCAUCAAUGCUCACUGGGUUUUGCGUUGCAUCGAGUUAAGUUAUGUUUACUAGCUGCGCCAUGCUUAUAUUAUACAUUGCUCUACUGGCUGAAGUAGUGAGAUUUAAACAAGCUGGUCAAGUCUUCAAAUUGUUGCUAACCUCUAUAUUGCUAUGUUUUCUCCAGGUCUUUUUAAAUGGACAGCUUUGUUGCUGAUAAGCUAACUGAGUGGUGGCUGUUUAAGCUGACAGAGACAUUUUUGAGGCCGUCUACAGGGUUGGGAAGAAGACAAUCCGGCACUCCACUGAAGAGUCCUGGACAGCAUUCAUACACCAAAUGUCUGUUGGAACAAAUGUGGUGGAAUACAGUGGCGGCUCGUGACUGCUCAUCCGAGGAUGCGCUAAUUCAAAAUGAGUGUUCAGAUUGUCACGUGUGUGGUUUCCUUUUCCAAAAUAUGUGUCCUGCGUGUCGAGAGAUCCUGUGUGCAUCACAUGUUUUAUCAAAAUACGUGCCUGCUGCACACGCGUCAAAACCGUUUAUGAUAAAAGAGACACUCACGUUCACAAAAUACACACUAGACACUUUCUUAACAGUAAACUCUGAUUACGCAUGAGAUUAUGCCAGUAUCUGGCAAACGCAAUCAUCUCUUUCAUCAUAAACCCUUUAGAAGCGUCUGCAGCAGGCACUUAUUUUGGCAUGACACGUGAUGCACACAGGAUCUCUCAAAGCGCAGAACACAUAUUUGGAAAUAACGAACCACACACAUGACGGGCUACAUACAUGUUGUGACGAACUUCGCAUCGAGCGUCCUCAAAAAAAUAAGUCACCGGCCCCCACUGGUGGAAUACCUUCAGCAAUCGAAGCCAUUCCCCUCUGGGAGAUCUUAAGCUGCAGUAAAAGACACAACCAGUGUUUGAAGACUUAAAGCCUCAAGUUCAAUUCAGUUAUUGAAUGUUGUCAAAUGUUUGAGAGUUGUUUAUUUUUCUAUUUUUCCUUUCUAAUGUUAUUACAGUGUGACCUAAAAUAAAUAGGUCCAAGUGUGUGUUUUUUAUAUAGAAUUUAAUUGAAUGCAAUAAAAAUGUAAAACUGAUUGAAGUGUGUAAGUGCCUGGAUUUUUCUUUUCUGAAAUAAAUAAGGCAUAGUGGCAUAGUUACACAAUUUAGGUUAUCUAUGACCUUUGGUUAAAAGGAUCUACUAAUUUCUGGGUUAUUUCAACCCAGAUAUUGGGGUCUUUCUUUUGACCCAGAAGUUGGGUUAUAUUAACUACAAUGUUGGGUUAUUUUAACCCAGAAGUUGGGUCAGGUAUUUAACCCAGAAGUUGGGUCAAAAAGAAUAACCCAUUUUUCUGGGUUGAAAUAACCCAGAAAUUAGUUGGUCCCUUUUUAACCCAGGAGUUGGGUCAAAAAUAACCCAUAAUGGGUUGUUUUUGACCCAGGAGUUUUUAGUGUGCACC